CAGUCUCGGCAUCCUGAACCACCAGCAUGAUACUGUCGACGAUGAUUUUGAUUUGUUUCCCAUGUGUGAAACCGGCGAAGAAAUUCUUGAGGAAGCUAACUCAAUUCUAGAUAUGAAGUUCUUCAGUGUGGAGACAUUGAAAAGCUGACCAAGAAACACAAGAAACACUCUGUGACCAUUGAGGAUACUUAUGACAGCAUCGAGAGGGCACACACUGCAACAGGGCAUGGUGGACGUGACAAUGCAAUCUUGGAGCAAAGUAUGCUAACAUCACAAAAGCUCUUGAAUUAUUCAAGUCCUAUAGCAUCACACGGCAGGAAAAGAGGAAGCGAAAUAAGACUGCCGGGGUUGUUGUGAACCCCCUCUUGAGCAGCGAAGUCAACUCCCGUGGCUAAGGUGACCUUGUGGAUAUGCAGUCAUUGCCUCAGGCUCAGUUCAAGUGGACCAUGGUCUACCGGUGCGACCUCGCCAAGUUUGUUAUACUUAGAGCACUUACAUCAAAGAGAGCUGCUGAAAUUGCCUUUCAACAGCUUGACAUAUUCUUUCUGUUUGGAGCUCCUGCCAUACUGCAUGCAAAGUGACAAUGGUUGUCACUUUGCAUGAAUUCACAGCUAAAAUCAUCUCAAAGGUGAAUGAACUUUGGCCACAACUCAUCAUGGUCCAUGACAUCCACAAAGCCAGGGUUCAGUAGAACAAGCCAAUGGUGACAUCAAGGGCAUAUUGCAUGCAUGGAUAGCAAAAAGACACAGGAUUGGUUUGAUGGCUUUCGUUUUGUUCAUCACCAAAAGAACUCAUAAUUUCGGUAUCAAGCAUACUCCAUUCAAAACAUUGUUUAGCACUGAUCCUAGGGUGGGUCUGGCACCAUCGAGUCUUCCUCAGAGGUCCUUGAAAGAUUACAGUCAGACGAUGACUUGCUCCUCUUACAAAACGCCAGAGUGAGAUAACAGAACAGAGGAAGAGGACCAGGGAGGAACAAGUCUCCUAGGCUGAACAGUGAAACGCAGUCGGAUAGACUUCAAGGCAGGGGAAGAAGGGGGCAAUGUUGUUGUGCCCAUCCCGAUGGUGAAUAGGGUAAGGGGAGACCCACAUAACAUCCUCGGUGUUAUCAUUGGCCGCAGUGACAAUUAUUUGUACAAAAUGGCUGUGAAGAAUGGGAUUCCGAAGACCAAGUACUCCCGCAAUCAGUUUGAUACUUGUCCUCAGAGGCUUCUUACUCUGUCUGAUGUCAGCCAAGAAGACCUGGUUUCCCUACGACGGGCCUGAAGAAAAUAACUACUGGUGGACAAGGAUUUGUCAAAUGUGAUUGUGCUGCAAGUAAGAAGUGUUGUACUGGCAGAUGUAAAUGUUAUAAGGCUAAUCUCAAGCGUAGUAGCCGCUGUCAUAGUAGUACCACAUGUCGAAAGAAGUGAAUGUCAAAUUGUUGUCUAAAAUUUGUUGAUUUCUGUGAUUUGUAUGUAUUUGACUGUACCCGUGUGUGUGUUUCCCCUGAAUAAAGUUUUUCAAUUAG